rnacentral:misc_RNA from 1 species
CAUCACCAAAGGAUGCAGUACU